rnacentral:rRNA from 1 species
UACGGAGGAUGCACGCGUUAUCCGGAAUGAUUGGGCGUAAAGCGUCCGCAGGUGGCUAUGUAAGUCUGCUGUUAAAGAGUGAGGCUCAACCUCAUAAGAGCAGUGGAAACUACAUGGCUAGAGUGCGUUCGGGGCAGAGGGAAUUCCUGGUGUAGCGGUGAAAUGCGUAGAGAUCAGGAAGAACACCGGUGGCGAAAGCGCUCUGCUAGGCCGCAACUGACACUCAUGGACGAAAGCUAGGGGAGCGAAUGGG